GUGUCAGCCGCCGCGGUAAUACGGAGGGUGCAAGCGUUAUCCGGAUUUAUUGGGUUUAAAGGGUCCGUAGGCGGAUUAAUCAGUCAGUGGUGAAAUCUCAUAGCUUAACUAUGAAACUGCCAUUGAUACUGUUAGUCUUGAGUAAUGUUGAAGUUGCUGGAAUGUGUAGUGUAGCGGUGAAAUGCUUAGAUAUUACGCAGAACACCAAUUGCGAAGGCAGGUGACUAAACAUUAACUGACGCUGAUGGACGAAAGCGUGGGGAGCGAACAGGAUUAGA
rnacentral:rRNA from 1 species